rnacentral:rRNA from 1 species
AGAGUUUGAUCAUGGCUCAGAUUGAACGCUGGCGGCAGGCUUAACACAUGCAAGUCGAGCGGUAACAUUUCUAGCUUGCUAGAAGAUGACGAGCGGCGGACGGGUGAGUAAUACUUAGGAAUCUACCUAGUAGUGGGGGAUAGCUCGGGGAAACUCGAAUUAAUACCGCAUACGACCUACGGGAGAAAGGGGGCAACUUGUUGCUCUCGCUAUUAGAUGAGCCUAAGUCGGAUUAGCUAGAUGGUGGGGUAAAGGCCUACCAUGGCGACGAUCUGUAGCUGGUCUGAGAGGAUGAUCAGCCACACCGGGACUGAGACACGGCCCGGACUCCUACGGGAGGCAGCAGUGGGGAAUAUUGGACAAUGGGGGAAACCCUGAUCCAGCCAUGCCGCGUGUGUGAAGAAGGCCUUUUGGUUGUAAAGCACUUUAAGCAGUGAAGAAGACUCUUCGGUUAAUACCCGGAGACGAUGACAUUAGCUGCAGAAUAAGCACCGGCUAACUCUGUGCCAGCAGCCGCGGUAAUACAGAGGGUGCAAGCGUUAAUCGGAAUUACUGGGCGUAAAGCGAGCGUAGGUGGCUUGAUAAGUCAGAUGUGAAAUCCCCGGGCUUAACCUGGGAACUGCAUCUGAUACUGUCAGGCUAGAGUAGGUGAGAGGAAGGUAGAAUUCCAGGUGUAGCGGUGAAAUGCGUAGAGAUCUGGAGGAAUACCGAUGGCGAAGGCAGCCUUCUGGCAUCAUACUGACACUGAGGCUCGAAAGCGUGGGUAGCAAACAGGAUUAGAUACCCUGGUAGUCCACGCCGUAAACGAUGUCUACUAGUCGUUGGGUCCCUUGAGGACUUAGUGACGCAGCUAACGCAAUAAGUAGACCGCCUGGGGAGUACGGCCGCAAGGUUAAAACUCAAAUGAAUUGACGGGGGCCCGCACAAGCGGUGGAGCAUGUGGUUUAAUUCGAUGCAACGCGAAGAACCUUACCUGGUCUUGACAUAUCUAGAAUCCUGCAGAGAUGCGGGAGUGCCUUCGGGAAUUAGAAUACAGGUGCUGCAUGGCUGUCGUCAGCUCGUGUCGUGAGAUGUUGGGUUAAGUCCCGCAACGAGCGCAACCCUUGUCCUUAGUUACCAGCGGGUUAAGCCGGGAACUCUAAGGAUACUGCCAGUGACAAACUGGAGGAAGGCGGGGACGACGUCAAGUCAUCAUGGCCCUUACGACCAGGGCUAC